rnacentral:lncRNA from 1 species
UUUUGCUAACUUGUGUAUGUUUUUCAGUUGGUACAUUUUAGCAAUGUGUACCAGAUUUCAGUAGACAAAAAUACCCUUAUAUCAUAAAUUCUAAGUUUUAAGGUUAAGGGUAUUUUAAUAAUUUUCAUUCUCAAAAUUAAAAAAAUAAAAAAAGAAACCCCCAAUCCCUUAUCCACCUAUCUCAUUCCUCUCAACCUUUCUCUUUCAUCUCUUUCACUCCAACAUUUUCUCUGUCAUCCCUACUCUAGCCCUAAUUGAAAAAAAUCAAAAACACUUGUCUUAUUUUAAUAAUUUUCAUUCUCAAAAUUAAAAAAAAAAACCCCAAACCCUUACUCACCUCCUUCAUUCCUCUCAACCUUUUCUCAUUCAUCUCUCUCACUCAACA